rnacentral:rRNA from 1 species
UAUGGGGGUCCGACUAAGCCAUGCGAGUCAUGGGGCGCCUUGCGCGCACCGGCGGACGGCUCAGUAACACGUCGGUAACCUACCCUCGGGAGGGGGAUAACCCCGGGAAACUGGGGCUAAUCCCCCAUAGGCCUGAGGUACUGGAAGGUCCUCAGGCCGAAAGGGGCUUCGGCCCGCCCGAGGAUGGGCCGGCGGCCGAUUAGGUAGUUGGUGGGGUAACGGCCCACCAAGCCGAAGAUCGGUACGGGCCAUGAGAGUGGGAGCCCGGAGAUGGACACUGAGACACGGGUCCAGGCCCUACGGGGCGCAGCAGGCGCGAAACCUCCGCAAUGCGGGAAACCGCGACGGGGGGACCCCCAGUGCCGUGGCAUCGCCACGGCUUUUCCGGAGUGUAAAAAGCUCCGGGAAUAAGGGCUGGGCAAGGCCGGUGGCAGCCGCCGCGGUAAUACCGGCGGCCCGAGUGGUGGCCGCUAUUAUUGGGCCUAAAGCGUCCGUAGCCGGGCCCGUAAGUCCCUGGCGAAAUCCCACGGCUCAACCGUGGGGCUUGCUGGGGAUACUGCGGGCCUUGGGACCGGGAGAGGCCGGGGGUACCCCUGGGGUAGGGGUGAAAUCCUAUAAUCCCAGGGGGACCGCCAGUGGCGAAGGCGCCCGGCUGGAACGGGUCCGACGGUGAGGGACGAAGGCCAGGGGAGCGAACCGGAUUAGAUACCCGGGUAGUCCUGGCUGUAAAGGAUGCGGGCUAGGUGUCGGGCGAGCUUCGAGCUCGCCCGGUGCCGAAGGGAAGCCGUUAAGCCCGCCGCCUGGGGAGUACGGCCGCAAGGCUGAAACUUAAAGGAAUU